rnacentral:rRNA from 1 species
CGGAGUGGCGGACGGGUGAGGAAUACAUCGGAAUCUACUCUGUCGUGGGGGAUAACGUAGGGAAACUUACGCUAAUACCGCAUACGACCUACGGUGAAGCAGGGACCCUCGGGCCUUGCGCGAUUGAAUGAGCCGAUGUCGGAUUAGCUAGUUGGCGGGGUAAAGGCCCACCAAGGCGACGAUCCGUAGCUGGUCUGAGAGGAUGAUCAGCCACACUGGAACUGAGACACGGUCCAGACUCCUACGGGAGGCAGCAGGG